AGAGUUUGAUCCUGGCUCAGGACGAACGCUGGCGGCGUGCUUAACACAUGCAAGUCGAACGGAAAGGCCCUGCUUUUGUGGGGUGCUCGAGUGGCGAACGGGUGAGUAACACGUGAGUAACCUGCCCCUGACUCUGGGAUAACUGCUGGAAACGGUGGCUAAUACCGGAUAUGAAGCUCCCGCGCAUGCGGGGGUUUGGAAAGAUUUUUUGGUCAGGGAUGGACUCGCGGCCUAUCAGCUUGUUGGU
rnacentral:rRNA from 1 species